GUGCCCAUGUUCGUUUUAUGGUCGCGCAAAAAUAGAGAGGUACAAACUCGAACACAGGCAGAUGAGAUGGAAGGCACCUAGUUAAUGAGGAAUCGGAAGCAAAUCAGUUGGAGAAGGUUCGAUCCUCGUCUGAUCGGUGAAGGGUGUACGAAAUCAGGUGAGGGGUCCGAUGGGGAGUCCCAGAUUGUCGAUCGGUGGUUGAGGAAUCGCGAGAGGAGAUAUCGACCCCCGCUGCUUCUGUUUGCUUCACCGCCGGCGGGAAUGAAGAGAGGGGAACGGUGGGCAGUGACAAUGGGUGUUCGAUGGGCGAAAAUCGCGAGGAGGAAGGCACCUUCGAUUGGGGGCUGUUCGAUCCUCAUCUGAUCGAUUGUAAAGGAACGGAAACAGAAGAAGUGGAGGGUUGGAUCCUUGUUUGACCAAGAGCAGAAAACGAAAAUAGAAAGACGAUGUGCUUGACUGGUUCGAGAAAAAGAAACAUGAAAGUGAUUUGGUUCGACGGUGGUUAUCAGUGGGGCGGCUUAUUUCCAUCGAACCUUCUUAGGUUUCUUCCUCAUCUCUGGCAGCAAGAACACGAAGGGACAACAGUGGCAGUUCCGAUCCAUAAAAGGUAUACCCGAGAACAAGAACAGUUCUUGUGUUGUUGACAGGAAUCGGUAUAGGGAAAAGGAUGUUUGGGUUUGAUUGUUUGACAGGAAAGAAGGUAAAAUGGUGGUAGGGUGGUGACAGUGCAAGGUGGUGUUGGGGUUUUAGCAACCACCGAUUGCUGCUGUGAAUUUGAUGGGAAGGAAGAAUCCAUUUGUUGUUGCUGGAAAUGAAGAUGCAAGCAGAUAUAAAGGAUCGAUCAACUUUACUGUAAGGGUUUAAUUUUUGUUUAAUUGUUUGUGAAUCAGUACUUGAUGAGUAGAAGCAAUGCCAUGGGUUUUCCCUUAACUGUGUGUGAGUUGUAAUACAGGUGAAAGAAAAACGUAGGAAGGAAGUAAAAAUAAUGGAGUGCAAGUUUUUUUUGAGUUUUUCUUUGUAUAAAAUGAAACUUGGAAGAAGGCGGCUGAUUAAUCGGCGCUUGGCGGACUCUAACUGCUUACGAAUAGCUGUUAUUGGGUAAGCUAGUCGGUCUUGGUCAAUAUCGGUAAAAGACGGUCCAAAUUGGACUAAUUCGUCCCAAAUCGGACCAAAAUGACUUCAACCCACUAGCUCAAAGGAGCAAACCCACCCAAAAUAUAGUUGGGUCGGGUUUUUUUAGCCCACCUAGUUGGGUUUGAAUUUUUGAAGGAACUAACUCUCCUUUUAUAAGAUAUGUGCGCCUUCGUCUAUUGUCCCACCAACGAUGAGGGAUACAAACACGAAAUUUCCUUCUUCACUGGAAACAUGAGCGAUGUGGGAUGCAAACCCAAAACUUCCUUCUUCACAACUCCAUCGAACACUCUCUACACCACCAUCCUUCUUCACUGGAAACACGAAACUUCCCCAUUAUUAGGUCGAGAUGAAAUUCGUCAAUUUAGAAUCUGGGUUCAGGUCGAGAUGAAACUUCCUUAGGAUCUGUCGAACAAUCACCUUGAAGACGAUGAUCGUCGGCCCCAACACUGUCGACAUGAUUCCUAACUAUGGCCGUUCAAUGACUCUCUGCCCCUUCCACCCUAUUGGAGAUGUAUUGCUUCAUAAGCAAAUCUGCUUCGUAGGUAAGCCAUUUCUUACAAAUUGGUUUCAUGUUUCUUACUUCUACACAUAGCCUGUUAGCAAAUCUGAUUCACACUUCACUAUGGUCGUUCAAUCUUAGUUUCAUGUUUCUUACUUCUUCAAUCUUGACACACGUUGGUUUUAUGUGUGAAUGGUGGUUUAUAUGAUUAGGAAAUCGCUUACUUAGUGUAUGAAACCAUCCGUCCACCAAGUGUUUGAUCAAUUGCCUGAGUGAAUCUUGUAGUCUUGAUUAUCAAAGUGAGGACAUAAGAAUGGAUUGGAUAUGAACUCACAAUGAAAGUGUUAAUGUUGAUAAGGUGCAACAACAUGUUGAUAAGGUAAAAUCAUGUCUCCCAAGAAUGGGUACUUCCUGUUUUCAUUUGAUAACUUAGAUCCAAAUGCAGUAGUUGGUUAUUUAAAUGUGAUGUAUUAAGGAUCAAAAGGGUUUUUUGUAAUCAUGGUUUGUUGUUAUAAUGUGAUCUUUAUUAGGUUUUUAAUAAAUUUUUUAUUGAUAUAA